GUCUAGCAGACUAGCAUUUGACAGGCUGAGGCUGUGGAGUUCGAUAGUUCAUUGACCACCUUAUCUCCGAAAUGGCUACUUCAAGGUCGUGUACUCAAAACUGAUGAUGACGCAAUGCCACAUGAAACUGUUCAAGUAAACUGUAUUAUGCAACACCCAAAACCACGCUACAGCUUGGUAGGGAAUAUUGAUAAACAUUCUAUCAACAUUUUUACCGGAUCGGAAUGGUGUCAGACUGCAGACUUUACCCCCAACGUGAUACCAAAGAAAAUGAACCAGAUUGCAUGACGGACUAGAAAUGGUUAUAGGGAUUAUGCAUUGAUAAUUACUGUGCCUCAAAAUUGUCUACAAGUUGUGAUUGAAAUUGUUGGUUAUAAUAUGAAAAAAGAAACGUUGAAUGUGGGAGCUGCAACAAGAGAGAUCAUAUUGAAUUGCUUGCUGAGACAAAUCAUUGAAAUCUUUUUCAUUCAGGAAUUGUUUUUGCAUUGGAGCUGGCUAAGUCAGAAAGAUGACGGAAUCGCGAGGUGAGGCAUUGUCAUCUGGACUGGGAUCUCUUAUUCCGCCAUUCUGUGGCAGCAUCUGACGUAGACGCAUAGCUUGAAAAUAACCAAGUUCCGGCCUUCGGUCACGACCCUCAACCAUAUCCUUCACCUGAUGAGUAAAAUUCACCUGUGAUGAGUGAACGACAAGACCAUUCUUCUCGGUUAUGAUGUCACGAGUGUGGAGAAUGUCGUCGACAGAUAUUCCCCGGCUGGCGUCAUCUAUUAGGAUCGUCCUGUAGCCAUGUUCUAGAGAAUCCCUAGCUGUCGCGCCUUAAAAUGUUUUCCCGAGUCAGCAAUUGCAGAUAUCCAUUUCAAAGAAUUAUUUGCUUACCGACGCAAACAUCGUAGGCGAGUCCGCAAACGUACAGAAAGCUGAAUAGGAAUCGAUAUCCGGAUGAACUCCUUUGUGGACUAGUAUUCCAUUUUCCAGUAUCUACAGGAUGAUAAAUUGAAAACAAAAAAGGACUUACGGGCUUGAUCCAAUGCUUCCAGCAGAAGGCAAACUCUUGGAAAUCCACAUAACCGUCCUGGAACAGACGUCAAACAUUUCCUGGAGCCGACUUUCCUCGAUGGCGUAAGCUUUGCCCUGCUCAUUGCGGAAUAGAGUACGACACAGGGCGGCAAAGUCGGACAACGUCAUCAAACCGUCACUGUGUUGGUGACGUCAUUGGCCGAGCGGGGGGGAAAUGACCUUCGCAAAUGACCGGAUCCAGUGAAAACGACCACCCCGUGGAAAGGGCCAAUUCACAGCUUGUAAAUUGUGACGGUUUAGGCAAAAAUUGGGAGGCUUGUUGUUGCGACCGAACGGUCGAUAUUUGAAAGGACUGGACGCGCAUAGAAAGGUGUCAAGAAGAGUGUCGUCGUUGGUGUCGUCGACGGCUGGAUGUUGUUGAUCCUGAUCCAGCAAUUGAGCCAACUGUCCUUCGUCUGAGGCGAUCAGGUCACUGCUGCUGCUACUGCACGGUUCGGCCAUUCGAGCGGAAUAGAGGCAGCCAAGGCAAGGCUAAAACCUUUUUGCCACGACUUGAGUAAAUAGCUUCGGGUUGCUUUGGUAACCGUGGCACACGGGACAGUGCGGUCUUGUACGUACUAGCACACAGAAGGGUUGUAGGUAUAUUAUUAUAGGCUGUGCGCGCCAGAACAGUCCCAUUUCUCUCCCGACUUCCUUGUUCUCCUUCCCGUGACAAGCCCGUGUACACACAAAAGUUGAUCCCCUCAUAAAAUUAUCGAGAUUAUACAGCCAUAAUUGAAUCAAAUGUUGCAAUCGCGAUAAAAUAACUCCAACUUCACGAAUCAACUGGGAAAUCGAGUUGGGCGGAGACGCUUAGCAUAUCCUCGGUAGAUCUAUUCAAUUCUUUUGGGUUUUUAAAAUGGACGUGGAAAUAUUAACGUAACCAACAUUUCUAUCCAUCCAUCCGGAUGGUAUAUACUUUAUUGUGAUUGAAUUGCCCCAAGCACGAUUCCCCCCCCCCCCCUUUACAUUCUAUGCCCAGUUUGACAACACGAACGCUGUCACGACUCGCCAGAUGGCAAUCAACGGGAUUCGAGAAAGAAGACUAAUGCUUACGUAUAUACACACACAGACACCCCACCUAUUUGUUUUGUUAGACUUAGAUUCCCACCCUUUCGACGGCCUGAAUUAUAUAUGAGCGCCUCACAGGGGUCGUAGAAAAGGGUAACACAACAACAAAACAGUACUACUAACCCCGAACUUUGUCGUCACGUCCUGCACAACUGCUGACUGGCUCCCACAAAAUCGAUUGCAUCAUCAUCGUAAUUAUCUUAUGCUUUUGAAAAUGUGUGACGACGAUAUGCAGAGACUUGAUACGACGAGUUUCUUACGUGAUAUUUGGCUUAAACGUGGUGUUAAACAAGAAGAAAGAUUUUCACGGCUGGCGGCGCGACUCCACAGCACUACACUAUUACUUUUGUAACCGAGUUGUGUGUUUUUUUUUAAAGAACUUGCACAGAACGGACGAAUCAAUACACGCC